AGAGUUUGAUCAUGGCUCAGAACGUACGCUGGCGGCACGCCUAACACAUGCAAGUCGAACGAAGUAGCAAUACUUAGUGGCAGACGGGUGAGUAACAUGUGGGUAUCUGCCCUUUGGCCUGGAAUAACACGAGGAAACUUGUGCUAAUACUGGAUAAGUCUUUACGGAGAAAGCUUUAUGCACCAUUGGAUGAGCCUGCACUUGAUUAGUUUGUUGGUGGGGUAAUGGCCUACCAAGACUUUGAUCAAUAGCUGAUUUGAGAGGAUGAUCAGCCACAUUGGGACUGAGACACGGCCCAAACUCCUACGGGAGGCAGCAGUGGGGAAUCUUGCACAAUGGAGGAAACUCUGAUGCAGCGAUGCCGCGUGAGUGAAGAAGGCCCUUGGGUUGUAAAGCUCUUUCGUCGGGGAAGAAAAUGACUGUACCCGAAUAAGAAGGUCCGGCUAACUUCGUGCCAGCAGCCGCGGUAAUACGAAGGGACCUAGCGUAGUUCGGAAUUACUGGGCUUAAAGAGUUCGUAGGUGGUUAAAAAAGUUGGUGGUGAAAUCCCAGAGCUUAACUCUGGAACUGCCAUCAAAACUUUUUAGCUAGAGUAUGAUAGAGGAAAGCAGAAUUUCUAGUGUAGAGGUGAAAUUCGUAGAUAUUAGAAAGAAUACCAAUUGCGAAGGCAGCUUUCUGGAUCAUUACUGACACUGAGGAACGAAAGCAUGGGUAGCGAAGAGGAUUAGAUACCCUCGUAGUCCAUGCCGUAAACGAUGUGUGUUAGACGUUGGAAAUUUAUUUUCAGUGUCGCAGCGAAAGCAUUAAGCACACCGCCUGGGGAGUACGACCGCAAGGUUAAAACUCAAAUGAAUUGACGGGGACCCGCACAAGUAGUGGAGCAUGUGGUUUAAUUCGAAGAUACGCGCAGAACCUUACCAACACUUGACAUGUUCGUCGCGACUUUAAGAGAUUAAAGUUUUCGGUUCGGCCGGACGAAACACAGGUGCUGCAUGGCUGUCGUCAGCUCGUGUCGUGAGAUGUUGGGUUAAGUCCCGCAACGAGCGCAACCCUCACUUUUAGUUGCCAUCAUUUAGUUGGGCACUCUGAAAGAACUGCCAGUGAUAAGCUGGAGGAAGGUGGGGAUGACGUCAAGUCCUCAUGGCCCUUACGUGUUGGGCUACACACGUGCUACAAUGGCAUUUACAAUAGGAAGCAAGAUGGCGACAUCAAGCAAAUCCUAAAAAGAUGCCUCAGUUCGGAUUGCACUCUGCAACUCGAGUGCAUGAAGCUGGAAUUACUAGUAAUCGCGGAUCAGCGCGCCGCGGUGAAUACGUUCCCGGGUCUUGUACACACCGCCCGUCACACCAUGGGAGUUGGUUCUACCUUAAGGCAAGGUUUAAAACCCUUGACCACGGUAUAGUCAGCGACUGGGGUGAAGUCGUAACAAGGUAACCCUAGGGGAACCUGGGGCCG
rnacentral:rRNA from 1 species